UACGAAGGGGGCUAGCGUUGCUCGGAAUCACUGGGCGUAAAGCGCACGUAGGCGGCUUUCUAAGUCAGGGGUGAAAUCCUGGAGCUCAACUCCAGAACUGCCUUUGAUACUGGAGAGCUCGAGUCCGGAAGAGGUGAGUGGAACUCCGAGUGUAGAGGUGAAAUUCGUAGAUAUUCGGAAGAACACCAGUGGCGAAGGCGGCUCACUGGACUGGUAUUGACGCUGAGGUGCGAAAGCGUGGGGAGCAAACGGG
rnacentral:rRNA from 1 species